rnacentral:rRNA from 1 species
GACGAACGCUGGCGGCGUGCCUAAUUCAUGCAAGUUGAGCGAUGAAGAUUGGUGCUUGCACCAAUUUGAAGAGCAGCGAACGGGUGAGUAACGCGUGGGGAAUCUGCCUUUGAGCGGGGGACAACAUUUGGAAACGAAUGCUAAUACCGCAUAACAACUUUAAACAUAAGUUUUAAGUUUGAAAGAUGCAAUUGCAUCACUCAAAGAUGAUCCCGCGUUGUAUUAGCUAGUUGGUGAGGUAAAGGCUCACCAAGGCGAUGAUACAUAGCCGACCUGAGAGGGUGAUCGGCCACAUUGGGACUGAGACACGGCCCAAACUCCUACGGGAGGCAGCAGUAGGGAAUCUUCGGCAAUGGACGAAAGUCUGACCGAGCAACGCCGCGUGAGUGAAGAAGGUUUUCGGAUCGUAAAACUCUGUUGGUAGAGAAGAACGUUGGUGAGAGUGGAAAGCUCAUCAAGUGACGGUAACUACCCAGAAAGGGACGGCUAACUACGUG